UACGGAGGGUGCAAGCGUUGCUCGGAAUUAUUGGGCGUAAAGGGCGCGUAGGCGGCUCAUGAAGGCUGUGGUGAAAGUCCGGGGCUCAACCUCGGAUCGGCCGUGGCGACUCGUGGGCUGGAGCACUGUAGAGGCGGGUGGAAUUCCGGGUGUAGCGGUGGAAUGCGUAGAGAUCCGGAAGAACACCAGUGGCGAAGGCGGCCCGCUGGGCAGUGGCUGACGCUGAGGCGCGACAGCGUGGGGAGCAAACAGG
rnacentral:rRNA from 1 species